rnacentral:rRNA from 1 species
UGCAGUCGAACGGCAGCACGGGUGCUUGCACCUGGUGGCGAGUGGCGAACGGGUGAGUAAUAUAUCGGAACGUGCCCUAGAGUGGGGGAUAACGUAGCGAAAGUUACGCUAAUACCGCAUACGAUCUAUGGAUGAAAGUGGGGGAUCGCAAGACCUCAUGCUCGUGGAGCGGCCGAUAUCUGAUUAGCUAGUUGGUGGGGUAAAAGCCUACCAAGGCGACGAUCAGUAGCUGGUCUGAGAGGACGACCAGCCACACUGGGACUGAGACACGGCCCAGACUCCUACGGGAGGCAGCAGUGGGGAAUUUUGGACAAUGGGGGCAACCCUGAUCCAGCAAUGCCGCGUGUGUGAAGAAGGCCUUCGGGUUGUAAAGCACUUUUGUCAGGAACGAAACGGUGGGGGCUAAUACCUUCUGCUAAUGACGGUACCUGAAGAAUAAGCACCGGCUAACUACGUGCCAGCAGCCGCGGUAAUACGUAGGGUGCGAGCGUUAAUCGGAAUUACUGGGCGUAAAGCGUGCGCAGGCGGUUGUGCAAGACAGAUGUGAAAUCCCCGGGCUUAACCUGGGAAUUGCAUUUGUGACUGCACGGCUAGAGUGUGUCAGAGGGGGGUAGAAUUCCACGUGUAGCAGUGAAAUGCGUAGAUAUGUGGAGGAAUACCGAUGGCGAAGGCAGCCCCCUGGGAUAACACUGACGCUCAUGCACGAAAGCGUGGGGAGCAAACAGGAUUGGAUACCCUGGUAGUCCACGCCCUAAACGAUGUCUACUAGUUGUCGGGUCUUAAUUGACUUGGUAACGCAGCUAACGCGUGAAGUAGACCGCCUGGGGAGUACGGUCGCAAGAUUAAAACUCAAAGGAAUUGACGGGGACCCGCACAAGCGGUGGAUGAUGUGGAUUAAUUCGAUGCAACGCGAAAAACCUUACCUACCCUUGACAUGUACGGAACCCUGCUG